rnacentral:rRNA from 1 species
AGACCGAUAGCGAACAAGUAGAGUGAUCGAAAGAUGAAAAGCACUUUGAAAAGAGAGUUAAAAAGCACGUGAAAUUGUUGAAAGGGAAGCGCUUGCGACCAGACUCGCCUACGGGGUUCAGCCGGUAUUCGUACCGGUGUACUUCCCCGUGGGCGGGCCAGCGUCGGUUUGGGCGGCCGGUCAAAGGCCCUCGGAAUGUAACGCCUCUCGGGGCGUCUUAUAGCCGAGGGUGCCAUGCGGCCAGCCCRGACCGAGGAACGCGCUUCGGCACGGACGCUGGCAUAAUGGUCGUAAGCGACCCGUCUUGAAACACGGACCAAG